GACGAACGCUGGCGGCGUGCUUAACACAUGCAAGUCGAGCGGGGAUUAUCGAGCGGAAGGCUUCGGCCGGAAGGUUGGUAAUUCUAGCGGCGGACGGGUGAGUAACGCGUGAGCAAUCUGUCCCAGACAGGGGGAUAACAGAUGGAAACAUCUGCUAAUACCGCAUAAGACCACGGCAUCGCAUGGUGCAGGGGUAAAAGGAGAGAUCCGGUCUGGGGUGAGCUCGCGUCCCAUUAGCUAGUUGGCGAGGUAACGGCCCACCAAGGCGACGAUGGGUAGCCGACCUGAGAGGGUGAACGGCCACAUUGGAACUGAGACACGGUCCAG
rnacentral:rRNA from 1 species